rnacentral:sRNA from 1 species
CUCCGGGGGCAGGAGGUUCGACUCGAGCGAAGCGAGAGAACGUUGCGUCAGCAACGGCCCGCAGGGCGAGCCACGAAGUGGUGAGUCAUCCUCUAUCACCGACCA